GGAAGCCCUCUGAUCUCUCAGAAACUGAACAGACAGCUUGUUCCCAGGAAGGGGACCAAUGAGAGCAAAGGGGCCAAGUCCAGUCAGCUGGAACUAAGGGAGGCCCAAUCUCAUCAUGAAACCGUUACCUUAGAGGUGGUAGUUCUUGGGCAAGAGGUUGAUGCACUGAUGGUGAUGGUUGGGACAAGAUUAACUUGUGCCACCCAUUUGGGAGUUAGCGGCUCCACCAUGAAUUACAAACCCUUCAAAGACUGAGGACAGUACCUGGAAGCGUAAAGACUCUAACACACAGCCCGAGGAACAAGGACCUUUCUGAAGCUCCUCUGGUGGCAUCUUACUUGGAUCACUCCUUGACUCCACAUUCUCUCAGCAAAUUGUGACCAUAAGCUGCUGCGGGUUCUUACAAGUGUUUGUCAGAAGUCACCGGUGCUGGAUUCCUGAACUGUCCGUCCUGGCCUUGUCAGUGUUGUCACCAAUGUCACCUUUCUCUGCGAUCUGGAAAAGUUUUCUUCUUUGACCAAAAGCAUGAUGUGGGCCUUGGGAAUAUCAGGUUCCACCUGAAAACUAAAUUGACAAGUUCUUGGCACCAGUGAACAAAUGAAGAGAGCAGAAAAUCUUUCUUCUGAGUCCCACGGAAAAGAAGCAGCCAAACAAGUAACCGGCUCCACAUGAGGUGAGAAGCCUUCCAGGAGAGGGCGCCAGGGUGAGGAUCAGAAUGAUGGGGGAUGUCUUUGUGUCACAUCACUGAACAUACCCUAUCAACGGUCAUGGCCACAAGCUGGGCGGAUCUCAGCUUGCUGCGCAGUCUGUGUCAAGUUCAGGACGUCGGGAAAUAACAAACUUGGAAGGAGAUCACACAAACCCCCACCUGAUGUGACGGAGCGGCAGCCCUUAUGUUCAAAGAAUAAUCAGUCCAAAGGAGUCUUCAGCAGGCAAACAGUCACCACGUGGGAGUCUUGUGCUGUGCACCGCGCAGUCCCAGAUGGCCAACAGCUGCGGCAGACAGCAGAUCUGAGGGGCAGGUGACAAAGCCUAUGUGUUUCCACAGUGACUACCCCGGGGUCGUUGAUGUUUUCACCUACGUCAAAAAGCUCCAGAUUGAAUUCUGCUAAAAUGUAAAUAUGGAAUUUGCCUUCAAGCAAAGGUAAGCCUCUUCCCCAGUAGCAAUGUUUUGUUUAGUUUUCAACAAAAUGUCUGUUGACAGAUGACCCACAUUUUUAUUGAUUUCCUAUAUCACACUUCACAGAACACUUGUAUUGGAACAAACACCAGAACCUAAAUCAACACUUUCCCAAAUGGCGGUCCUCAAAAAGUUCAUCUAGAGAUUCCAGUAGCCCUAGAAGGAAGUAUGUGUUCCAAGAUCAAAACAGUUUUGGAAAAUGCUGCGUACUCUAUUUUCUCUCAGUGGUUUACAGUACUUGGUACCCAUUCAAGCCAGUAGUUCAGUAGUUAAAGAAACACACACAGCUGACAAAGACACACACACACAUUUAUUUAACCCAAUGUUAUGAAAUAUAUCUUGAGAAGAGGUUUUUUGUUUUUUUUUUUUUUUUAGUACCAUAUCUUUAAAUACCCUUUAAAAGGAUGUUCUGUGGAAUACCAGUUUGGAAAGUUUGUCCUAAAGCUAUUGACUAAUG
ensembl:lncRNA